UACGGAGGGAGCUAGCGUUGUUCGGAAUUACUGGGCGUAAAGCGUGCGUAGGCGGUUAUUCAAGUCAGAGGUGAAAGCCCGGGGCUCAACCCCGGAACGGCCUUUGAAACUAGGUAACUAGAAUCUUGGAGAGGUUAGUGGAAUUCCGAGUGUAGAGGUGAAAUUCGUAGAUAUUCGGAAGAACACCAGUGGCGAAGGCGACUAACUGGACAAGUAUUGACGCUGAGGUACGAAAACGUGGGGAGCAAACAGG
rnacentral:rRNA from 1 species